rnacentral:rRNA from 1 species
GCCUGAGAGAUGGCUMCYACGUCCAAGGAUGGCAGCAGGCGCGAAACUUGCCCAAUCUACGAGGAGGCAGUUAUGGGACGUUAUGAGUUGUGGCGCAGGACAAAGAGAUGUGCUUGUAUCGGAGGGCAAGGCGGGUGCCAGCAGCCGCGGUAAUACCUGCUCCGAUAGUGUCUAUGGUGAAUGCUGCAGUUAAAAGGUCUGUAGUCGUGUUGUAUGUGUUUGUUGUGUGUGUUUGUGGCAUGCAUGGGACGUACGGGAGAUGCAGGCGACGGGGGCCACUGGAUAGUUGGGCGAGAGGUGAAAUGCGAGGACCCUGACUGGACGAACGGAGGCGAAGGCGGUGGUCUUGGAGCGGUGUGCAGAUCAAGGACGAAGGCUGGAGGAUCGAAAUCGAUUAGAUACCGUUUUAGUUCCAGCAGUAAACGAUGCCGACUGUGCGGUGCGCCAGCACUGUGGUGGAGAAAUCUGGAAGUAUGUGGGCUCUGGGGAUAGUAUGCUCGCAAGGGUGAAACUUAAAGAGAUUGACGGAAGGACACCACAAGGAGUGGAGUGUGCKGCUUAAUUURACUCAAC